UACGAAGGGGGCUAGCGUUGCUCGGAAUCACUGGGCGUAAAGCGCACGUAGGCGGACUCUUAAGUCAGGGGUGAAAUCCUGGAGCUCAACUCCAGAACUGCCUUUGAUACUGGGAGUCUUGAGUUCGGGAGAGGUGAGUGGAACUGCGAGUGUAGAGGUGAAAUUCGUAGAUAUUCGCAAGAACACCAGUGGCGAAGGCGGCUCACUGGCCCGAUACUGACGCUGAGGUGCGAAAGCGUGGGGAGCAAACGGG
rnacentral:rRNA from 1 species